UACGAAGGGGGCUAGCGUUGCUCGGAAUUACUGGGCGUAAAGCGCACGUAGGCGGUCUUUUAAGUCGGGGGUGAAAGCCCGAGGCUCAACCUCGGAACUGCCUUCGAUACUGCGGGUCUCGAGUCCGGGAGAGGUGAGUGGAAUUCCUAGUGUAGAGGUGAAAUUCGUAGAUAUUAGGAAGAACACCAGUGGCGAAGGCGGCUCACUGGCCCGGUACUGACGCUGAGGCGCGAAAGUGCGGGGAUCAAACAGG
rnacentral:rRNA from 1 species